GCCAUUCAAUAGUCAGGCUUGCUGUGCACGUCCAGAGCUUCAGGACAGCUAUUGGCCUGCAGCCCCUGAGUUUCAGCAGGGACGCAGUAUGAUUUCUAAGCAUUUCCCAUAUUCUGGUCUUCCUGUUGCUCUUGGGAGCCUCUAAGCAGAAGAGUGGAAGGGGGAGCGAUCCAAAGAUGACUUCUAUCCCUAGUCACUUACCCCUACUGACUCACUCAUCUCCUGCUGGGAUUCUAAAGCCAGGAUAAGUGGGUUGCGGAACUGAAGGCUACCAGAGAAAACCAGAAAAUCAACCUGCUACACCAUAACCUCGUAUCUCGCUGGACUCUAAGGCAACUGAGUUGGAUCGAAAUAAACCUUUAUUUCCCUUAUAUUUAUUUAUAUUUAUUUAUUUCCCCUUUAUUUGCCAUCACUGCCACCCAUCUUCUCAAAACACACACACACACACACACACACACACACACACACGUGCACAUUCAUUGAAGACCAAGGCCCUGACUCAUAUCCUUUUUCUCCAUCUCUAAAUCUGCCAUUACUGCCCUUAGAUCUAAUCUACCAGGGUUCCCACCUGGGCCCCAUUUUUUAGAGGACCCUGCUCUUUAAGAGACAAGGAAUCUAAGGGGCCAAGGGAAGAAUCCCACAGAGAGCCCAUGCCCCUCUUUCAAGACUAUGUUUUGGGUAUCUGGGACCUUAAAAAUUUCCUGCCCACGUGGUCCUGAGCCCACUGCCAGGGCCUCCUCCACAGGUCUGUCCUCUAGAGGGUAGACAGCGCUACUGGUGUGUGCACUCCUAGGGGCAUCCAAGUAGCUACUUGUUGAAGAGGCGUAAGUGGAGCUUAGAUGUGCAAGCCCAUCCUGCCCUCCUUGUUCCACAUCUCAGAAUUGAUCAGGUGUAGAUGUGGGAAAAGAAGGUAGACACCUCCAUUUGUAUUCUUU
rnacentral:lncRNA from 13 species